rnacentral:lncRNA from 1 species
UUUUUUUUUUAAAGAUUUAUUUAUUAAAGGUGGUGUACACCUUUAAUCCCAGCAGUCGGGAGGCAGAGGAAGGCAGAUCUCAAAGUUCAAGGCCAUCCUGGCUUACAGAGAGAGUUUUAAGACAGCUAGGGCUACACAAGAAACCAUGUUCUGGAAAAAAAGAAAAAGGAAAAAAAAAGUUUAGAUAAGUCAAAACAAGAUAAAAAAAAUCACCUAAAAGUUUAUUAAAUCACUAACAUUAAAUAUAUAAAUCCACACAUACAGAGACCACCAUGCUCUUGUUUUGGAACUUUUUAAACUUUUUAAAUAUUAAUUAAUUUUUUAACCUAUUCACUUAAUGUCCCACUGACUGCCCCUCCCCCUCCCCCUCUCCCAUUCUCUGAGCAGGUGGGGGUCCUCUUGGGUAUUCCCCCUACCCUGACACAUUAAAUCUCUGCAGGGCUAGGUGCAUCCUUUCCCACUGAUACUAGACAAGGCAGCCCAGCUAGAAGAACAUAUCCCACAUACAAGCAACAGCUCUUGUGAUAGCCCCUGCUCCAGUUGUUCAGGAACCACAUGAAGACCAAGCUGCACAUCUACUACAUAUGUGCAGGGAGGCCUAGGUCCAACCUGUGUAUGCUCUUUGGUUGGUGGUUCAGUCUCAGCUGCACAUUUUAAAAAAUUAUAUACAUUUUUGUUUGUUAUACAUGCAUUGGUGUUUUGCCUACAUGAAUGUCUUUGUAGGGAUGCUAGAUUCCCUGGAACUGUAGUUACAGACCAAUAUAAGCUGCUGUGUGGAUGCUGGAAAUUGAACCCAGGACCUCUGGAAGAGCAGCCAGUAUUAUUAGCCACUGAGCCAUAUCUCCAACCCCCAGUACCAGACUUUUUAAAAUAUUCAAUAAAUCUUUACCAGUAUCAAAUAGUUUGGAGACUGAGGUUCUCAUUCUUUUAUAGUUUUGCAUUAUAUUCAAUAUACUCUAAGAAACUAGAGCAUGCUAACUUUGUUUCUAGAUAGUAACAUCAUGACUUUUCUAUUGUGAAUUUGACUUUAAGAAUGUUGUGGAAAAAAUUUUUUAGAAGAUUUCUUUAUUUUGUUUAUAUGAAUACACUGUAGCUGUCUUCAGACACACCAAAAGAGGGCUUUGAAUCCCUUUAUAGAUGGUUGUGUGCCACCAUGUGGUUGCUGGGAAUUGAACUCAGGACCUCUGGAAGUUCAGUCAGUGUUCUUAACCACUGAGCCAUCUCUCCAGCCCAGAAAUAUUUUAAUAGUAUCUAAACAAAGGAAAAGCAGGGUGGGGGACUAAGUAAGUAUGUAUAAUAUGUAAGUACUUGAUAAGUUGAACAAACCUGUUCUUUUUCAUCUUUGCAAGAUAUACCACGAAGAAAAGCAGUGAUACACUGCACACUAAGGUGGGCAUUUAAGGAUUUUUAUAAUUGUUGACUGAUUUGUUUGGUUUUUCUGAGACAGAAUCUUACUGUGUCACCUGAGGUAGCUUCACACAUUUCUUCCUGCUUCAGCCUCAGCAGCACAGCAGGUUGUGUAUCACCAGCUGUAACUGUUGGCCGAAGAACUCAACUUGAGUCUUCUGGAUGCUAUCCAUCCAUUGUCUGCAGUCUAUGAUGCAACCCUAUCAAAAAACCAAUUUUAUUUUCUUAGAUAGGCUUAAAGCACAAAGGGACAACUACAAACGCUUCCAUUAGUACACUCUAAAAUUGGUUUUCAGACAGGCAUAGUGGUGACCACCUUUAAUCCCAGCACUCGGGAGGCAGAGACAGGUGGAUCCCUGAGUUCGAAGACAACUUGGUCUAUGGAACAAGUUCCAGAACAGCCAGGGCUACACAGAGAAACCCUGUCUUGGAAAAAUAAAAUAAAGUAAACUUGGUUUUCAGUUAGAGCGCUGCCAUUCUAAACCCAAGCAACUCUUUAUACGAUGAAUUGUUUAUCUAAUUUCAACAUAAAUUGUGGUUUCCAACUGUUAUAAAUAUUGCUAACUACAUGGCGGUUGAACUGACAGCCUAUGCUCUUUGCUUGAUUUUAAAUCACAGUAUUUUAGUGUAAGGAGUGAGUGACAUCCCUAGGGGAUAUGUUGACAGAGUCAUGGCAACGCCAAGAACUCCAAAGCCUCAGCCCCAUGAAAAUGGCAAAGCCUUCCCGCGUGACUCUCAAAGGGAUGAAGAAACCUUCCUGUGGUCUGUGUGAAAUGAUAAUGUAUACAGGAAAUGCCCACCAUCGUUUUCUCCCCUCAGCUGUUUGUGGCCUAGAGACUGAGAAGCUAAAUGGCUUCUUUGUUGUGCUGUAUAUGAUAGCUUGGCUUCCUUUCCUAUUCAGCUGUCUGUCACACCUCCAUCUCCCUGCUCAACUGUAAUACAACAAACACGCUGUCCUUCAGGGUUACUGUGGUCUCUCCAUUUGAGAGCACCGACUACCCGAUCCCAGGUUUUCUGUGUUCAUGUAUCCAUCAUUUCUUUCGUGUCAUCAACCCUCCUCAAGGGUUAUGCAAGCCAAAGGAGACUAGGCUGUAUCUUUCAUUUUCAUUUGUGUGAAAUAGAAUAGUUUGCCCAGCUACCAACCAUAUGAAGUUUAUAUCUCUUUUUUCCCCCACCCUUUACUUUCUUAAAGGUACACUUCACUUAUUUUUGGUAUGUAUAAGUGGGAGGGGGGAUGCAGAACAAUUUGAAACCUUUCUAACUUUUUUUUCGACAGAGUACAGGCAGGUUCAGUUUUGUUAGUCAUUUAUUACAUGUUUGGAGUGGUCCUUGUGUGUGGAAUGAAGGAUAGUUUUCUGGCUUGGGUGUGUUUAGUUCAUUUCAUCCUGCAGAGCUGUCUCACCUAAAGCCCCUUAAGUUGCAGUACAGGCUUCCCUGAGCGGGUGUUCUGGAUAAAAGCAAUGUUUGCACCUACCUGUUGACAGUGCUUCACAGCAACCGUGCUGCAGUCCAGAAGGCAGGGCAGAGCUGGAGUGCACUCCAGUGGCCAGAGCCCUGGAGUGUUCUGCAGAACACAGAUUCCUGCAGGAUGCUGGGUAAGAUGUGGUCGUGCACGGCACAGCAGAAAGCGUCCUUAUGCCUUUUCCAGUGAAGUGGGGUUCCCUGAGGUAACUAGAGGUGUGAUGGGAAAAGCAAACUUGAGUUCUCCUUCACCUGCAUGCCAAUGUGGUGAUUGUUAUAAAUCCAAUGAAAAGUGCGUGCCUGUGGUCAUAAAGGAAUGUGCUUGGUUCACAGAAUGGAAAGGCUUCUCAGUGAACUCAGAGAAUCCUUCAAAGGUCAGGUUACUUGAAGUUCUGUAACAUAAUAAAAAUGCUACACAACAGGAGCUCCAGAAAGGCUGUGAAUUGUUGUUGUGUUUUGCUUCACUUGUUAGAAGUUUGUUUGUUUGUUGAGACAGGGACUCACUAUGUAUUCCCAGCUGGCCCAUAGCCCAGGCUGUUGUUCUCAAACGCAAGAGAACCACCUGUUCCUGCCUUCUGAUUGCUGAGAUUCAUGGUGUGCACCUAACUGUUUGUUAGGGGUUUGUGUCUAUGUAUGUAUGUAUGUAUGUAUGUAUGCAUGCAUGUAUGUAUGUAUGUAUUUUAAUGAGACCUGGUCUCACCAUAUAGCUUGGUUAGCUUGGAACUCAUUCUGUAGACCAGGCUGGCCUUGAACUCACAGAGAUGUACCUGCUUCUGCCUCCUGAGUGCUGGGAUUGAAGGAGUGUGCACUACUUUGUUCAGCUUGUUUGUUAAGUCUUUUAAGACCCGGCCUCACCCACUCUGUUACCUAGGCUGGCCUCAAAUUUAGUGUGAUGCUAUUCUUGGUUGUCAACUUGACCACAUCUGUAAUCAACUGAAAUCGAGGGGUUGCUCCUGUGAAGGACUUUUUUCUUAAUACAAUUGUUUAAAGUGGGAUAAAUCAUUUAAUCCAGAUACUUUGAGGUGACAAGAAAUACUUUUAAUCCAGAUUCUUAUUGUAUAAUCAAUAUAAUUAAAACCUUUUAUAC